UUUGUGCUUUUAGGAGAAAAGCAUACUUACUAUAUCAGUAAGAUCCACUUUUGAUUUGUUGUCCAUUUUAUGGUCUGAAAAGACUGUUGGUGUAGAAAUUAAAAGAUGGUCUCUGAAAGUAAGAAAAAUAAAAUAGAUCAAAUAAUGCUACAGGUUCAAUUAUUUUAUAUAAAAUAAUUCACACACAUGCUAUUUCAAAUAUAUUUUAAUUUUUGUGCAUAACAAAGUACUUAUAUUCACAAAUAUUUUAAAAGAACACAAUAUUUUAUUUGAAUACAUACUGACUCUAAUAUAAAUUUGAGUGUAAACCUAUUUUAUUAUAAGCUAAAUUGUACCAAAUUUCACCAAAAGAAACAAAGUUACUCACCUGGCACAGAAAGACAUGAUGUAAUCAAUUUAGGUGUUGGCUUGAGAUGGGAUUUAUCUGAUUUCUGUACAACUAGUUUCAAGUAAUGACUUCACAAUGAGUUUAACAUGGAGCCUGUGACCUUAUUAUGUGUGAAGCAGCAGUAUCAUCAUUUGAUACCUUAAACUGAGUUGCUGUAUUGUGAGAUUUAUUACUGCUUAAAAGCUGUCUUAAAAAGUGGUUAUUAGCAUAGAAGUGCACCAAUUAAUUAAGUGGAUCAUUGAUACAGAAAGGAAGGAAGACUUUAGAUUUGAAAAUGUGUUCUUAUGAACAGGCACAAAAGGGACUACAGCGCUAUGGCAAAAAGAGGAAGAAUAGUUUUCCUCCUUAAUCCAGGAAAACCCACUACACCAAUUUAUUGGGAAAUACCACGUGUGACUCUUAAAUUUUUAAAAAAAUCUGUAGUUUUGUGUCCUCAGUUUCCUGCUGCCAGGGCCUAUCACAAGUGAACAUUCCAAAUUAUUUCAAUCGGUCCAUUGGAUUCUCUCAGCUCCAUGCUUACCUUGCAUGUUCUACAACACUGGAUGCUCAAAGCUUCAACAUAGAAUCAUGUACUUUGGUGCUGUUGACACCAUCACACUAUGUAGACAGUGUAAGAGUAGUUUUUUAAAUGUUAAAUAGUUCUUGGCAGAAUAUCAUCAGUAAAUUGUAACUUAUUUGCAAUAUGCUAUAUUAGUACUCAAGACCAUACAAGGAAAUUGAUUUAUAAGCAAAACAUACUUUACCCUAAUUUUGCUCAGCUAAAGUAUGGAAACUAUCGUGUAGUUAAAACAUAAAUAUUUCAAAUGGAUCCUUUGAAUUAAGGUAAUAUGUGCUCAAUGAACCUUCCAGCCAUUCAGAAAGGACUAAAGUCUGGGGUUAUUUAUUGAAUAAAACUCCCAUUGAAUUUACCAAUCCUUAGUUCUUAGCAAUGUAAAAAACACAUACUAACUAAUCAGACUGAGAGCUUUCUCCAUAAUAACCAAAUGUAGAAUGUGGUUGUAGAUACAAAGAACCAAAUGUUACCCUUAAUUACACCUACGUUUUGACUCCCAGUGAUGCAUGAUUGGACCUCAUAUCCAAAUAUAACAGUUCAUAUGCCCAUCAUAUUUAAUGGCUGAAGUCAGUUAUCCAGAAGGAAAAAAUUAAAUACUUUUUAAUUCCCAUUCUUCAGCUGAUAUUAAACAAACUUACUUAUGGGUUUUAGUUCUGAGGUCUAUACAUUAUUUAUUUGUAAGUUAAAAUAUGAACAGGGAAUGUUGAAGUGUUCGGUGACUUUUUUUUUGGCCUUUUCUGGAACUAAGAUGAUCAGUAAAAUAAGUACAUUCACUAAAAUAGUCACAUUGUGGAAUGCUCGUGGGAGACUACAGUAAUUAAUUUUACACUGAAAUUGUACUAUGUGAAUGCAAUUAUUACUCUUCAAAGGCAGCCAUUGAAGGGUGAGCAGACCAUUUAGCAGGCCAGGGCAUUGGCAAAGAGGGAGACUACAGGGUGGCUUUGUAAUCUGCAUCAUCAGAGUUUCCACAAAAUAUGUUUCUCAACCAAGAAUUAUAUGGUGAUGGUGAAGUAAGGAAAAUGACAUGAAAUCGGCCUGAAUAUCUUGUUACCUGGACUUGAAGUAAGUUUAGGACUGUGUUAGCAACCUUGAGACCAGAUUCUGAUAUCUUUACUCACAAAGAAUAGUAUUGCAAACCAUGAGUAGGCUCACUGAAAUCUCUGGGACUACUUUACUUGCAGUGUGGGGCAAUGCUUAGUGUGAGUAAACAGCAGAAUGCGGCUCUAGCUAAUUAUGAGACUAUAUUCCCCUUCUUUCAGUUCUGUAAGGAAAAGUGACUGCACUUCAGCUCCCUGGUGAAAAGUGGUUGCAGUCUGAAGAUGUUAUAGUUUAACCAUGUUUUAGCAUCUGGAAUAAAUAGGCUUCUAAUCAAUGGGAUAGUAUUCCCUGCUUAAUUCAGUAGUGUUUUUCUAGGAUACAUUUUUUCAAUGGGGUUGUCUGUGAAAUAGUACUUUUUAAUGUGUGAAUUAAAUAAAGGACCAAGUUACUGGCAGAUAUGUGUUGAGGUGUGAGUGGGACACUUGAUGCUAAUUAGUUGUGGUGUUGCAUCAGGGAGGUUCAAGCAUUAGCGAUACACAGGAAUACAUUUUAUUUUUGAGGCCUGCAUACUGAGUGAAACAAAGGUACAGCUAUAGUAAGCUUUACCAUUUUUACUUAUUUUCUCUCUAAGCAUAGAUUGCCUCCCCCCUCAAAUAAAGAUGAGCUUUUUGCUAGAUAAAUGUUUGAGAGGAAACUGACUUUUUUUAAAAAAGUAAAGAUACAGAUACUUUAAUAUCAGUUGUGCUACACAAAAUGAAGUGAAAUUUGUUUUUGUUAGCUAUAGAUAACCACUUAAAAAUGGACCCCAAGCCCAGGGACAGUGAAUGCUAUAUUUCCUUUCAGAUUGUAAUAAACACAGUAAGGCAACUGGAUAAAAAAUUUCACAGUACUGAUGAAGGGGUUACUUUUCAGCUUGGUUGAAAAGUGAUCAUACUGCUGUAUUUGACAGAGGUUGGAGUUCACAAUUGGAAACUUUAAAUUACAGCCUAUUGCUAGGCAAAACAUUGGUCCAUCUAGCCAAGUAUCCUGUCUUCUGACAGCAGCCAGUGCUAGAGGCUUUGGAGGGAAUAGACAAAACAGGGCAAUUAUCAAGUGAUCCAACUCCUGUUGUCCAGUUGGAGGCUCUCCCAGAUGGAGGUUUAGGGACAGCUUGAGCAUUGGCUCAUUCCCCUGACCAUCUUCGCUAAUAGGGACUGAAGCCUUUUUUCUCCAUGAAUGUAAUACUUUUUUUUAAACCCAGUUUUGGCCUUCUCACCAUCCUAUCGCAAUGAGUUCCACAGGUUGACUGGGCUUUGUGUGAAGUACUUUUUGUCUUAAACCUGUUACCUAUUAAUUUCAUUGGGUAACCCCUGGUGGUUAUGUUAUGUGAAGGGAUAAGUCACACUUUCCUAUUCAUUUUCUCACCCUCAUUCAUGAUUUUAUAGCUAUCAAUCGUAUACCCCCUUGCUUAUACCACAAAUGCUUAUUCAAACUAUGUGGUGCCUCAGAAAAGUUGUGCUAGUCUCUAUGAUUUUCUACUGAAGAGCAUAUCAGCUCAAAUUGAGCCAACUGGGCUAUAAGUAGUUUGACAAAUUUAGGAUUUUAAACAAUUCUAUCUACAGGACCCCUGCCCCAAGCUUUUCCCCCACCCCAUUUCAUGGAUGAGGUAUGUUAUUCUCAGCUAUAUGAAUAAUAGGCCUCUAUGCUAGAGUGUAUUAAUUUAGAUCAUCCUUGAAAAGGUACCAGCAAGACAACUUGUUUGUGUAGGUACAGCUAAUUUACUCCCUUUUGUUAGAGAUGAGGAGAAAUUGUUUCUCUAUAAAGCCACUGCCAAAAGCCAACUUGUUUGCUUAAUUUGAUUACCUAUUCCUCAAACUUAAUUUCUAUCGCAAUUGCUCAUGUGUUCUUUAAUGAAGCCUGAUUUUCUUCAGUUCCCUUUUCCACUGGGUUAUCCAACAGUCCCAAUUUUUUUUAAAUCAAGAAAGUAACAAUACCUCCUGUCAGGGUUCCUUCCCUACUCUGAACUCUAGGGUACAGAUGUGGGGACCUGUAUGAAAGACCCCUAAGCUUAUUCUUACUAGCUUAUGUUAAGAACUUCUAGGUACAAAUUUUGCCUUGUCCUUGAACAGUAUGCUGCCACCACCAAGUGUUUUAAACGAAGAACAGAGAGACCACUUAGAGACAUCUUUCCUCCAAAAUAUCCCCCCAAACCCUACACACCCCCUUUCCUGAGGAGGCUUGAGUGUAAUAUCCUAACCCAUUAGUUACAAAAUCAAAGGCCCAAACACCUGGAUCUUGGGACAAUGGAAAAGUCAGGUUCUUAAAAAGGGUUUUAUUAAAAAAAAAAAAAAAAAGUAAAAAUCAUCUCUGUAAAAUCAGGAUGGAAAAUACUUUACAGGGUAUUCAGAUUCAAAACACAGAGGAUCCCCCUCUGGGCAAAACCUGAAAGUUACAGAAAACAGGAAUAAACCUCAACACAGGGAAAAUUCACACAACACAAAAAAACUAACCCGCCUUGCCUGGCUUCCCUAUACUGCAAUAUUGGAGACUUGGAUAAGGAUGGGUUGGAGAAGAUGGAUUUCUGUCUGGCCUCUCAGUCCCAAGAGAAACACCACAUAAAAAAAGAGCACAAAACAAAAAGCCUCUUAGAAAUACAUGCAUGGCCACAGAUGAAGUGAUUCAUCUUAUCUGGACUUCCGCCAGCUGCAAUAGCAUUAAAAAAAAAAAUAGUGAACACUCAGUGUGUCCAUACCCAUGCAAUCCUAAGGAAAUAUUCUAGGUAUUGAUAUGUACUUAGGGAAAACAAAACAUGCACACAACCUUUGUUCAAAUAUAUUGAAUGCUUAUAACUUUGCUGUCUGGACUCUUUUUGAAGAUAGAAAUUUCCGAAAGCCAUGUUCUUAAUGAGCUAAAUUUAGGGCUUGUACACACCAGUGCUUACUUCAGUAUAAUGAAAGUCAUGCACAGGCAUGGAAAAGUGAUACAAGUUACACAGAUCUAAGUGCUGGUGUGGACAAUGCUGAUGGCAGGAGAAGCUGUCCUGCUGACACAGCUACUGCUGCUCGGGGAGGUGGAGUGAUGCCGACAGGAGAGCUCUCUUCUGUCAGCAUGGAAUACAGUGGUACAGCUACAUCAGUACAUCUGCGCCACUGUAGAGAUUCUAGUGUAGACUAGCCCUUAUGUUGCCUGUAUACAUUAAUAUAAGGUCUAGCUUACACACAGGAUUCACUCUAAACUGCAUUGGUCACUUGGCAUAUACACAUGAUGUCCUCGCACAGUAGGUAGAGCAAGUCAUGUGAAACAGACCUAAACCUGGGCCAGACAGGGUUGAAAGAUGUAGGUAUUCCAUAUUCCAAAGUAAACUGUUUAGCAUGCUUUAUAGGAAAUAUCCGUUUAAACAAUUUGGUUUAGAUGGUCACCAACUUUAGAACCUUUAGUCUUUAUCUGAUCAUUUUGAACAUUAGAAUCUGAUACCUAGAAAAGUCUUCAUUACUCAGCAUUUUUUAUUCACAUCACAGAAAAUACACACAGUUUGGUCCUAUUAUAUAGCAUCUUUGGAAGUUUAAGCAAACAAGUUUAGCGAAGUGUCUGACAUGACAUUACAGCUUAGUGUUCCUUUCAACAUACUAAAAUAGGAAACCUUCAAACCUCUUAGUAAACAGAGUGGUGACGUAUUGCUUUGAAAUGCUAUGGUACAACAGCUAAGUAUUAUCAAGUGUUUACACAUUGCUGUUCAGAAUCAUAGCUUUGCACAAAUAUGCAGUUACAUAAAUUGUUUUAAAUACCUGGCAUAAAAAAAGUAACACUUCAAUGUUCAGCUCUCAAACAAAAAAAAAUAUAAAAAUAAUGCAGAUUAAGUGCAAAUACAAGCGAGUCUCUACAUGAAUACAAAACCUUUAAAAAUUAAAUACUGACUUCAUUUAGUCACUUAAGUGCUAGUCUUUUUACCAGGCUUGAACAAAAAAAUUGAUUUGUGAAACUUGUUUUAAAAGAAAAAUACCCAAGAUUUAUUCAUUCUUCAUAGGUUUAUUCCUUUCGCAUCCAUGGAAUCCCUUAGUACCAUCAGGACCUUUGGGUAACCGCAAUACUCCUACAGGUAACCCAUCUGCAUUUUGUAUUUUCCGGGCAAGCAUUGGGCUACUUGCUGGACUUUGUUCUUGCGUUACAGUUUGAGCUUGUCUUCUCCUCUGAACCCAGGGGCUACUAGAAGGAGUAAUACUACUAUCUGAAGAGUAAUCUGCACAUUUCCUUGAGAUUUCAGGGCUAGUGCUAGGGUUAAGUUUGCCAUCUUCAGCAAGCGGAGACUUCUUGGACACUUUGCGCAGAGAAGAUGGGCUAUUCCAGGGGCUUGACCUAGGUGAAACAUUAGGGCUCAGGUGAUUGUUCUGAUAGGUGGUAGGGCUCAAUUUGCUGGAAGUAUUAGUCUUGCGACCAGACAGUGGAGAUGUAGGAUUACUCUCUGGAUCAGAAGAGCUGUUUGCUGAUGAUUCAUCCCCAACAUACUGAAGUUCCUCAACUCUCUUAUUCAGGGAUUUAAUUUUGUUGAGAGACUUGCUGGGAUCUUCAUCAUGGUUCUUUUCUUUCACAGUUUUUUUCUUUGGAGGCUUCAUACCUAUCAGGGUAACUUUCAUGCCAAUUUCAUUAUUCUUUUCAAUACACAUGAUUUCAUGAGCUUUAAUUGCUGCAUCUAUUUCUUCAAACUCUAUUAUUGCACAUUCCUUUGUUCCAACUUGGGUGUAUCGAUUACUGAAUCUCUUGACAUCAGGUGGAAGAUCCUUACCAGGUUUGAGAAUGCGAACUGAUGAGAUUACACCAAAAGUAACAAAGGUCUUGAGAAGAUGCUCCAUCAUCUUUUCUUGCAUGCAUCCAUUUUCUUGAUCCUGGCUCAGAACCUGUAGCUCAGAAAUUAAGUGGAUAUCAUACACAAGCAGCAUCUUGCUAGGCAGGGUCUCACUGGCAAACACUGGAACUGGGGUAUUUCUUCUAACCUUUCUGCUAUCUUCAUUCAGCUCAAGAAUGUCUGAAUACUUCAAGGCAUAGGCUGUGAUUCUCCAGUCUCUGGUAAGAUGUUUUACCUUUAAGAAAAAGGGUUACACUUUAAUGCAGCUCAUUAAAACACCAGAACUAUAGUUCUCUACAGCUAUUGAAAACCUGAGACCGAUACAGGGUUGGAUUUCAAAUGAAAGAUCAGCCAAAGUCUUCUAUAGUAUUCCUCCUGAACAGAAAGGAGGUUUAAAAAUGUUUCCCUACUGUCACUGUGACCAUCAGUACGAUGUUGUGAACUUCCUGUUCCUUUUACAUGAUUGGAGAUCAAAGUCAUCACCAACUGUAGACUUACCCAGACUAAACAAGUCAUUACUUCUGUAGCUAUUAUAUGCCUCUUCAAGAGUUCUUAGAAUCUUUCUACUCCCAUCUCAUUGUAGAGGCAUGCUUAUACUGCCUAUUCAACAGUUGCUUUGCUUGGUGCAUCAAAUUCCAAACAGGUAGCCUCCCCCUCUGUCCCAUUACCUUAUUUUUGUGCUUAAAUUUAGAAAACUAUUAAACAGAGUCCCUACCCUUAAUAGUUAAGAGGCACUUCCAUAGUGCCUUUCAGAAUAUCAAAAUAUCAGGCCUAGGACCCACAAGUCCUGCCUCUCAGGGCACUAUAGCUAUUGGACCAAACUGUACAGCCAAGUUAAGUCUGCAAAGGUCAAAAGACAUUAAACUCAUCAGGAUGGUGCUGGCUCAAAAAAAA